GACGAACGCUGGCGGCGUGCUUAAUACAUGCAAGUCGAACGGACAGGCCCUGCUUUUGUGGGGUGCUCGAGUGGCGCACGGGUGAGUAACACGUGAGUAACCUGCCCUUGUAUUUGGGAUAAAUUCUGGAAACUCGGGCUAAUAUCGGAUAGGAGCUACUGAUGCGUGGUGGGGGUUGGAAAGUGUCGGCGGUGGGGGAUGGUAUCGAGGCUUAUCAGCUUGUUGGUGGGGUAGUGGAUUACCAAGGCUUCGACGGGUAGCCGGCCUAAGAGGGGGACCGGCCACAUUGGGACUGCGAGACGGCCCAGAAUCCUACGGGAGGCAGCAGUGGGGAAUAUUGCACAAUGGGCGGAAGCCUGAUACAGCAACGCCGCGUGCGGGAUGACGUCUUUCGGGGUGUAAACCGCUGUCGCCUGUGACGAAGCGGGAGUGACGGUAAUGGGUAAAGAAGCACCGGCUAACUACGUG
rnacentral:rRNA from 1 species